AUAGCUCAGUAACACGUGGUCAAACUACCCUGUCGAGCGCGAUAACCUCGGGAAACUGAGGCUAAUAGCGCAUACGGCUCGGUGCCUGGAACUGGCCCGAGCUCGAAACGCUCCGGCGCGACAGGAUGUGGCUGCGGCCGAUUAGGUAGACGGUGGGGUAACGGCCCACCGUGCCUAUAAUCGGUACGGGUUGUGAGAGCAAGAGCCCGGAGACGGAAUCUGAGACAAGAUUCCGGGCCCUACGGGGCGCAGCAGGCGCGAAACCUUUACACUGCACGACAGUGCGAUAGGGGGACUCCAAGUGCGAGGGCAUAUAGUCCUCGCUUUUCACUACCGUAAGGUGGUAGUAGAAUAAGUGCUGGGCAAGACCGGUGCCAGCCGCCGCGGUAAUACCGGCAGCACGAGUGAUGACCGCUAUUAUUGGGCCUAAAGCGUCCGUAGCCGGCCGAACAAGUCCGUCGGGAAAUCCGCACGCCUAACGUGCGGGCGUCCGGCGGAAACUGUUCGGCUUGGGACCGGAAGGCUCGAGGGGUACGUCCGGGGUAGGAGUGAAAUCCCGUAAUCCUGGACGGACCACCGGUGGCGAAAGCGCCUCGAGAGGACGGAUCCGACGGUGAGGGACGAAAGCUAGGGUCACGAACCGGAUUAGAUAC
rnacentral:rRNA from 1 species